rnacentral:rRNA from 1 species
UACGUAGGGCGCAAGCGUUGUCCGGAAUUAUUGGGCGUAAAGAGCUCGUAGGCGGUUUGUCGCGUCUGCUGUGAAAUCCCGAGGCUCAACCUCGGGCUUGCAGUGGGUACGGGCAGACUAGAGUGCGGUAGGGGAGACUGGAAUUCCUGGUGUAGCGGUGGAAUGCGCAGAUAUCAGGAGGAACACCGAUGGCGAAGGCAGGUCUCUGGGCCGCAACUGACGCUGAGGAACGAAAGCAUGGGGAGCGAACAGG